rnacentral:rRNA from 1 species
GGAUUAGAUACCCUGGUAGUCCACACCGUAAACGCUGUCUACUAGCUGUGUGUGUCUUUAAGACGUGCGUAGCGAAGCUAACGCGCUAAGUAGACCGCCUGGGGAGUACGGUCGCAAGAUUAAAACUCAAAUCAAUUGACGGGGGCCCGCACAAGCGGUGGAGCAUGUGGUUUAAUUCGAAGCAACGCGAAGAACCUUACCAGGUCUUGACAUCCUCGGAACUUUCUAGAGAUAGAUUGGUGCCUUCGGGAAUCGAGUGACAGGUGCUGCAUGGCUGUCGUCAGCUCGUGCCG